UACGUAGGGGGCGAGCGUUGUCCGGAAUUACUGGGCGUAAAGAGCGCGUAGGCGGCGCCAUAAGUUCCGUGUGAAAGCCCCCGGCUCAACUGGGGAGGGUCGCGGAAGACUGUGGUGCUGGAGUGUCGGAGAGGGAAGUGGAAGUCCCGGAGUAGGGGUGAAAUCCGUAGAUACCGGGCCGAACACCAGUGGCGAAGGCGACUUCCUGGCCGACGACUGACGCUGAGGCGCGAAAGCGUGGGGAGCGAACGGGAUUAGAUACCCCGGUAGUCCACGCCGUAAACGAUGGACACUAGGUGUUGGUGGUAUCGACCCCACCAGUGCCGGCGCAUACGCAGUAAGUGUCCCGCCUGGGGAGUACGGCCGCAAGGCUAAA
rnacentral:rRNA from 1 species